UGACAUGUGAACACGGUGUUUCGUCGCUCCGCAUAAUUACAGAUUUCUAAGAAGCUAUAGCUACAAUACAGAACGUCGAAUAUACCAGUCUAUACAUCUCUUCGAUACGUAUCGAAAUGAGUCUCCGGCAAGCAACAAAAGAAAAAGCAAUCGCACGUGAUAAUAGGUAUAUCUAUACAUAUGUGUAUUUGUAUACGCUGUACUGUACGGAAUAUUUAGGAAGUAUCGACAAUACACAUGUAAACAAUCAAAGGACGACCGAGAAGACGACUUUCUUAGUUUAUCUUUAGCACAGUUCUCGUUUGUAUAAGCAGCCUUCCAGACGUGUUCAGACUUGCUCCUGCUUCGUUAAUUCAGGUUAUUAUUCAUCGUAUUGGGCAAUAUAAUCACCAAUUUGUCUGGACAUCUACACAUUUGAUAGCAGUUCUCAUAUACUUCUUGCUGCUCUUCAUA